UUUUUUUUUGAACAAAUUUCAAAUACUAUCGCGUGAUUUCACACUUUCUCACUUUAGUAUUCUGUGAUUUAAAGUAUAUUAAUUUAGUACCAUAGGUUUCAUUUUUAUCUUUUUAUUAUCGAUUUCACUAAUUUUUAUCAUGUGUUUCAUUUUUAUCUUUUUAUUAUUGAUUUCACUAAUUUUUUUUACUAAAUCAGUGACAAAGUUAAAACUGAAAGGUACUAAAGUAAAUAUUUAAUAAAUUUAGAUAGAGUAUCUGAAGUUUUUUGUAUAUAAUUUAACAAAAUGUUAACGAAAAAACUAACGAAAAGAUAAAAAUAAAACCACAGGACACUACAUAGUAUUAAAAUGAAAAAGUGCAAAACUACAGGAGUGGUAUUUAAAAUUUACUUUUUAAAAAUAUUCAGACUUUUUAAUUUAUUUACCUUUUUAGAGGAUUAAUAUAAAAAUAGUGUAGGAACCCUCGCGAUGCGGCAGAUAAAAUUUUUUAGUAAAAAUUUAUAGAUUAAAUAAACAAAUAUAGAACAUAAANGGAGGGGUUUUUUUUGGGGAGGGGGAGGGGAAAAGGGUGGGGCCGGGGUUUGCUUCCUUCUCUGCGAUCACGUUUUGAGGAGAGCAGUCUUCUCGUUUGCGUUCAUCCCGAUAUGCCGCUGGCGACGUACGGAAGAAAGGCUGCAGCGAGACGCUUUUUCGGGGAAGACUGAAGACGAAGGGCGCGACCAGGGGCACUGCGCUUUUCAUUUUAUGUUAAAAUAAAAUAAAAAGCUUAUUAUUUUGUUUUUACUUCAUUUUUCUAAUGCUUUUUUUUUUGAAAAAAUUUUAUGUGGUUUCAUACUUUAUCAUUUUAGUAUUCUGUAAUUUAAAGUGCUUCAAUUUAGUAUUAUAGGUUUCAUUUUUAUCUUUUUAUUAUCGAUUUCACUAAUUUUUAUCAUGUGUUUCAUUUUUAUCUUUUUAUUAUCGAUUUCACUAAUUUUUAUCAUGUGUUUUAUUUUUAUCUUUUUAUUAUUGAUUUCACUAAUUUUUUUCAUUAAAUCAGUGACAAAGUAAAAACUAAAGAGUACUAAAGUGAAUAUUUAAUAAAUCUAGAUAGAGUAUCUGAAGUUUUUUGUAUAUAAUUUAACAAAAUGUUAACAAAAAAGCUGACGAAAAGAUAAAAAUAAAACCACAGGACACUACAUAGUACUAAAAUGAGAAAGUGCAAAACUACAGGAGUGGUAUUUAAAAUUUACUUUUUAAAAAUAUUCAGACUUUUUAAUUUAUUUACCUUUUUAGAGGAUUAAUAUAAAAAUAGUGUAGGAAUCCUCGCAAUGCGGCAAAUAAAACUUUUUAGUAAAA
rnacentral:lncRNA from 1 species